UCCUUUUGUUUCUUCUUCUUUUACAAAAUCGAACGCAUAUGAAAGAAUAGGGCAAGCGUACAACUUCAUUUCCUGACAUCUUCUUGCUUCGGUUUCUCCAAAGAAAUCAAAGACAACAACCUUAAGAAGUUAGCCCUAUCUUUUAUUCCUUGUGAGAAGCUCUCAUUAGUGAUAUACUUGCCUCUUUCUCCUUCGACCCUAGGGCUAUCUUACAAGGAUUUGAAGUGGUUUUCCAAAUAUUAAAGUUGCAAGUUGAUUCCUAGUGUGGUGGAGGUUAAACAAGGUUGUCGUACGUGGAUUUGAACCCCGAACCGUGAGCUCGGUAGGUUGCCCUUGGUCCCGGACCAAGUAGGAUUGAGGCAUUCUGUUGAAUAAUGAGUUUGAAAAAUAAGAUGUUGUGGAGGUAAGUGGAAGAACAUAUUGAGGUAACCUCUUGGUACUGGGACUUGUUCCCCUUUUCUGUUUCACCUUGCCAGUUGAUGGCAACGGUAGGAAGUGUAUAUGAGUAGUGUAGAACAACAUGAGCAUGCAUGCAUUAUCACAGUGGGUACUUAUGUACCGAGUCUCUGGCCAGUAGACAGUUUUUGCCUUCGGGCGUUUCAAACUUCCACUGGAUAGGUCUUCGAGAGGGAGUUCCAGUUGACCUAGGGUCGUGGUGUGUGAUCCAGAUAGGAGCACACUAGGAAUGUCUCGGGUGUAUAUGGAUGGUUGGGGCAUCAUGGUUGUGGUUCUUGGAACACACCUUGGAUGAUACCCGUAGGCUUAUAUAUGCCGAGGACGUUGCGUGGUAUUGGUAGCUACCAUCCCGCUUCGUCGUAUUUUAUAUCCCGAUAUUCCCCAGUUUCUCUAAAUUCCUUGCUUUAUCCCGUUUUGAAAGUGGUUGUUUUAUACUAUUGAUAUGCAUCGAAGUGAACCAUUGUGCGGAGUUUUCUCCAGAACCUCUGGGUUACUGAGAUAUAUCCGUAUAUCUCACCUCGUCUCGGGGCAUUUAUUUCAGGAGGUAGCAGUGGCACAGGAGUAGCGGGCAAGAGGCCCGUAGGAUGAGUCAUGGGAGCAUUGUCAUUACUUGUUUAUGAUAUAUAUUGCUGUUACACCCCACGCUUGGGGCACCAUUUCAGGUUCAGGUAAUGCGGGGGUUGAGACCUCUAGCGACAAGAGGCGAGAGCUUAGCUGAUAUUGUUGUUCAUAUGCUGACAUAUUUGGAUGCUGGAUUAUAUCUGCUGAUGAUAUGCUAUUAUCUUGUUAUUAUUAUGUUGCUGUUGUUGAGACUAUGUGUGGCUGUGUUGCCUUAUUUGGUGAGCAUGGGGAUUGUCCAUGCCACAUUGAUUGACUAUGUUUUAGUUUAGUUUUGAGUUGUAAUAAUGUAUCAGGAUUAUGUCCGGACUACGUGUUGUAGUUCCGUGAUUUUAGAUACUCACCGUUAUUUAUAUAUGAGGUAUU